rnacentral:rRNA from 1 species
CUACGGGCCGCACCAGUGGGGAAUAUUGCACAAUGGAGGAAACUCUGAUGCAGCAACGCCGCGUGGAGGAUGACACUUUUCGGAGCGCAAACUCCUUUUAUAUAGGAAGAAGAUGACGGUACUAUAUGAAUAAGCGCCGGCUAACUCCGUGCCAGCAGCCGCGGUAAUACGGAGGGCGCAAGCGUUACUCGGAAUCACUGGGCGUAAAGAGCGUGUAGGCGGAUUAAAAAGUCAGAAGUGAAAUCCUAUAGCUUAACUAUAGAACUGCUUCUGAAACUCUUAAUCUAGAAUAUGGGAGAGGUGGAUGGAAUUUCUGGUGUAGGGGUAAAAUCCGUAGAGAUCAGAAGGAAUACCGAUUGCGAAGGCGAUCUACUAGAACAUUAUUGACGCUGAGACGCGAAAGCGUGGGGAGCAAACAGGAUUAGAUACCCGGGUAGUC